AAGUAUUAAAGGUCCCGCCUGCCCAGUGAAAAACUUUCAACGGCCGCGGUAUUCUAACCGUGCAAAGGUAGCGUAAUCACUUGUCUUCUAAAUAAAGACUAGUAUGAACGGCUAAAUGAGGACAAACCUGUCUCAUAUGGUCAAUCAGUGAAACUGAUCUCUUAGUACAAAAGCUGAGAUAAAGACAUAAGACGAGAAGACCCCGUGGAGCUUAAAAUUAACCACUACCUCAACACCCUAGUCUAUUAUUUUGAGUUGGGGCGACUUCGGAAUAAAAUAAAACUUCCGAGCACAGAACCACACCUUCUAAUCAAGGCCAACAAGCCAAACAAAACUGACCCGGUCUCACCGAUCAACGAACCAAGUUACCCCGGGGAUAACAGCGCUAUCUUCUUCAAGAGUCCCUAUCAACAAGAAGGUUUACGACCUCGAUGUUGGAUCAGGACACCCAAAUGGUGCAGCCGCUAUUAAAGGUUCGUUUGUUCAACGAUUAACAGUCCUACGUGAUCUG
rnacentral:rRNA from 1 species